rnacentral:rRNA from 1 species
AGUGAACGCUGGCGGUAGGCCUAACACAUGCAAGUCGAACGGCAGCACAGUAAGAGCUUGCUCUUACGGGUGGCGAGUGGCGGACGGGUGAGGAAUACAUCGGAAUCUACUUUUUCGUGGGGGAUAACGUAGGGAAACUUACGCUAAUACCGCAUACGACCUACGGGUGAAAGCAGGGGAUCUUCGGACCUUGCGCGAUUGAAUGAGCCGAUGUCGGAUUAGCUAGUUGGCGGGGUAAAGGCCCACCAAGGCGACGAUCCGUAGCUGGUCUGAGAGGAUGAUCAGCCACACUGGAACUGAGACACGGUCCAGACUCCUGCGGGAGGCAGCAGUGGGGAAGAUUGGACAAUGGGCGCAAGCCUGAUCCAGCCAUACCGCGUGGGUGAAGAAGGCCUUCGGGUUGUAAAGCCCUUUUGUUGGGAAAGAAAAGCAGCAGGUUAAUACCCCGCUGUUCUGACGGUACCCAAAGAAUAAGCACCGGCUAACUUCGUGC